CGCGUAAUGCAGCCUACCGACGGUAGCCAGUUCCAAGCCUGGGAAAAUGCAGAGGACGCG
rnacentral:ribozyme from 2 species